CCUACGGGCGGCAGCAGUGGGGAAUAUUGGACAAUGGGGGGAACCCUGAUCCAGCCAUGCCGCGUGUGUGAAGAAGGCCCUCGGGUUGUAAAGCACUUUCAGUGAGGAAGAACGCCUGGUGGUUAAUACCCAUCAGGAAAGACAUCACUCACAGAAGAAGCACCGGCUAACUCCGUGCCAGCAGCCGCGGUAAUACGGAGGGUGCGAGCGUUAAUCGGAAUUACUGGGCGUAAAGCGCGCGUAGGUGGCUUGAUAAGCCGGUUGUGAAAGCCCGGGCUCAACCUGGGAACGGCAUCCGGAACUGUCAAGCUAGAGUGCAGGAGAGGAAGGUAGAAUUCCCGGUGUAGCGGUGAAAUGCGUAGAGAUCGGGAGGAAUACCAGUGGCGAAGGCGGCCUUCUGGACUGACACUGACACUGAGGUGCGAAAGCGUGGGUAGCAAACAGGAUUAGAUACCCGGGUAGUC
rnacentral:rRNA from 1 species